AUUGAACGCUGGCGGCAUGCCUUACACAUGCAAGUCGAACGGUAACGGGCCUUCGGGUGCCGACGAGUGGCGAACGGGUGAGUAAUGCAUCGGAACGUACCUUUCAGUGGGGGAUAACGUAGCGAAAGUUACGCUAAUACCGCAUAUUCUGUGAGCAGGAAAGCAGGGGAUCGCAAGACCUUGCGCUGAUUGAGCGGCCGAUGUCAGAUUAGCUAGUUGGAGAGGUAAAGGCUCACCAAGGCGACGAUCUGUAGCGGGUCUGAGAGGAUGAUCCGCCACACUGGAACUGAGACACGGUCCAGACUCCUACGGGAGGCAGCAGUGGGGAAUUUUGGACAAUGGGGGCAACCCUGAUCCAGCCAUGCCGCGUGAGUGAAGAAGGCCUUCGGGUUGUAAGCUCUUUUGGUCGGGAAGAAAUCGCAUGGGUUAAUACCCUGUGCGGAUGACGGUACCGGCAUAAGAAGCACCGGCUAACUACGUGCCAGCCGCCGCAGUAAAAC
rnacentral:rRNA from 1 species